GAGGUUAUAGCUCAGUGGUAGAAUGCAUGUUUAGCAUGCACGAGGUCCUGGGUUCAAUCUCCAGUAACUCCA
rfam:Camelus ferus unplaced genomic scaffold scaffold1416, whole genome shotgun sequence.